GUGGGGAAUAUUGGGCAAUGGGGGAAACCCUGACCCAGCAACGCCGCGUGAGGGAAGAAGGUUUUCGGAUCGUAAACUUCUAUCCUUGGUGAAGAUAAUGACGGUAGCCAAGAAGGAAGCCCCGGCUAACUACGUGCCAGCAGCCGCGGUAAUACGUAGGGGGCAAGCGUUGUCCGGAAUGAUUGGGCGUAAAGGGCGCGUAGGCGGCCUGGUAAAUCUGGAGUGAAAGUCCUGCUUUUAAGGUGGGAAUUGCUUUGGAUACUGUCGGGCUUGAGUGCAGGAGAGGUAAGCGGAAUUCCCGGUGUAGCGGUGAAAUGCGUAGAGAUCGGGAGGAACACCAGUGGCGAAGGCGGCUUACUGGACUGUAACUGACGCUGAGGCGCGAAAGUGUGGGGAGCAAACAGGAUUAGAUACCCGAGUAGUCC
rnacentral:rRNA from 1 species